AGAGUUUGAUCCUGGCUCAGNACGAACNCUGGCGGCGUGNNUAAUACAUGCAAGUCAAGCGAAACUUUGGGAGCUUGCUCCUAAAGGUUAGCGNCGGACGGGUGAGUAACACGUGGGCAACCUGCCUAUAAGACUGGGAUAACUUCGGGAAACCGGAGCUAAUACCGGAUCAUUCUUUUCUACACAUGUAGAAAAGCUAAAAGACGGUUUACGCUGUCACUUAUAGAUGGGNCCGCGGCGCAUUAGCUAGUUGGUGAGGUAACGGCUCACCAAGGCCACGAUGCGUAGCCGACCUGAGAGGGUGAUCGGACACACUGGGACUGAGACACGGCCCAGACUCCUACGGGAGGCAGCAGUGGGGAAUUGUUCACAAUGGGCGCAAGCCUGAUGACGCAACACCGCGUGGAGGAUGAAGGUCUUCGGAUUGUAAACUCCUGUUGCUCGGGACGAAAAGCCUCGACCUAAUACGUCGAGGUCUGACGGUACC
rnacentral:rRNA from 1 species